rnacentral:rRNA from 1 species
CACGUAGGGCGCGAGCGUUGUCCGGAAUUAUUGGGCGUAAAGAGCUCGUAGGCGGCCUGUUGCGUCCGCUGUGAAAGCCCGGGGCUUAACCCCGGGUCGGCAGUGGAUACGGGCAGGCUAGAGGUAGGUAGGGGAGAAUGGAAUUCCCGGUGUAGCGGUGAAAUGCGCAGAUAUCAGGCGGAACACCCGUGGCGAAGGCGGCCAGCUGGGUCGUCCCUGACGCUGAGGCGCGAAGGCGUGGGGAGCGAACGGG